rnacentral:rRNA from 1 species
GGGCCCGCACAAGCGGUGGAGCAUGUGGUUUAAUUCGAUGAUACGCGAGGAACCUUACCAGGGCUUAAAUGCAGAACGACAGAGGUGGAAACACCUCCUUCUUCGGACGGUCUGCAAGGUGCUGCAUGGUUGUCGUCAGCUCGUGCUGUGAAGUGUCGGGUUAAGUCCCAUAACGAGCGCAACCCCUAUUUCUAGUUGCCAGCGGUUCGGCCGGGGACUCUAGAGAAACUGCCAGCGUAAGCUGUGAGGAAGGUGGGGAUGACGUCAAAUCAUCACGGCCCUUACGUCCUGGGCUACACACGUGCUACAAUGGUAGGGACAGAGGGAAGCCACCCCGCGAGGGGAGCGGA